GAUGAGCGCUGGCGGCGUGCCUAAUACAUGCCAGUCGAGCGAACGGACGAGAAGCUUGCUUCUCUGAUGUUAGCGGCGGACGGGUGAGUAACACGUGGAUAACCUACCUAUAAGACUGGGAUAACUUCGGGAAACCGGAGCUAAUACCGGAUAAUAUUUUGAACCGCAUGGUUCAAAAGUGAAAGACGGUCUUGCUGUCACUUAUAGAUGGAUCCGCGCUGCAUUAGCUAGUUGGUAAGGUAACGGCUUACCAAGGCAACGAUGCAUAGCCGACCUGAGAGGGUGAUCGGCCACACUGGAACUGAGACACGGUCCAGACUCCUACGGGAGGCAGCAGUAGGGAAUCUUCCGCAAUGGGCGCAAGCCUGACGAAGCAACGCCGCGUGAGUGAUGAAGGUCUUCGGAUCGUAAAACUCUGUUAUUAGGGAAGAACAUAUGUGUAAGUAACUGUGCACAUCUUGACGGUACCUAAUCAGAAAGCCACGGCUAACUACGUG
rnacentral:rRNA from 1 species